rnacentral:rRNA from 1 species
AGUGAACGCUGGCGGUAGGCCUAACACAUGCAAGUCGAACGGCAGCACAGCAAGAGCUUGCUCUUACGGGUGGCGAGUGGCGGACGGGCGAGGAAUGCAUCGGAAUCUACUUUUUCGUGGGGGAUAACGUAGGGAAACUUACGCUAAUACCGCAUACGACCUACGGGUGAAAGCAGGGGAUCUUCGGACCUUGCGCGAUUGAAUGAGCCGAUGUCGGAUUAGCUAGUUGGCGGGGUAAAGGCCCACCAAGGCGACGAUCCGUAGCUGGUCUGAGAGGAUGAUCAGCCACACUGGAACUGAGACACGGUCCAGACUCCUACGGGAGGCAGCAGUGGGGAAUAUUGGACAAUGGGCGCAAGCCUGAUCCAGCCAUACCGCGUGGGUGAAGAAGGCCUUCGGGUUGUAAAGCCCUUUUGUUGGGAAAGAAAAGCAGCAGGUUAAUACCCCGCUGUUCUGACGGUACCCAAAGAAUAAGCACCGGCUAACUUCGUG